UCCCGAGUAGCAGCGGACUCCUAGAAUCUGCUGUGAAUCUGCCAGGACCACCUGGUAAGGCUGAAUACUUCCUGGUGACCGAUAGCGGACAAGUACCGUGAGGGAAUGGUGAAAAGUACCCCGGGAGGGGAGUGAAAUAGUACCUGAAACCGUUCGCCUACAAUCCGUCAGAGCCACCCUAGCAGUGGUGAUGGCGUGCCUUUUGAAGAAUGAGCCUGCGAGUUAGUGGCAUGUGGCGAGGUUAACCCGUGUGGGGAAGCCGUAGCGAAAGCGAGUCUGAAUAGGGCGCUUUUAGUCGCAUGUUCUAGACCCGAAGCGGAGUGAUCUAGCCAUGGGCAGGUUGAAGCGUGGGUAAGACUGCGUGGAGGACCGAACCCACCAACGUUGAAAAGUUGGGGGAUGACCUGUGGUUAGGGGUGAAAGGCCAAUCAAACUCCGUGAUAGCUGGUUCUCCCCGAAAUGCAUUUAGGUGCAGCGUCGCGUGUUUCUUGCCGGAGGUAGAGCACUGGAUGGUCUAGGGGGCCCACAAGCUUACUGAAAUCAGCCAAACUCCGAAUGCCGGUAAGUGAGAGCGCGGCAGUGAGACUGCGGGGGAUAAGCUUCGUAGUCGAGAGGGAAACAGCCCAGAUCGCCAGCUAAGGCCCCUAAGCGUGUGCUAAGUGGAAAAGGAUGUGGGAUCGCAUUGACAACCAGGAGGUUGGCUUAGAAGCAGCCAUCCUUUAAAGAGUGCGUAAUAGCUCACUGGUCAAGUGGUUCCGCGCCGACAAUGUAGCGGGGCUCAAGCACACCGCCGAAGCUGUGGCAUUCAUACUUUACCCGGCUG
rnacentral:ncRNA from 1 species